rnacentral:lncRNA from 1 species
ACAGACCACAGCUCAGGGGUAUAGCUGAGCAGUAGAGCAUCUGCCUAGCAUGCACGGCGGCCCUGGGUUCAAUCCAUAGCACUGCAAAAGGAAAAAAAUGUGUGCAGUGUACUAAAAGAUGUUAAAAAUGGAAAGUUUAUAAACAUUUAUUGUACCUGUCUGAUUUGAAAGAUUGAACCAGCACUUUUUUAUUUACAUAACACCUUUUUUGAAAGAACUACUAAAUAUUUCAAACUCAUUUAUUUAGGACGUGUAAUAAAAAUAUUAAUUUAUAUAUAAAAAAAGCAAAGAAGCACUGGAGAAUAUAAGCGAGAUAGAACAUAAAGAAUAUAGAACAUCCUAUCAAGACAAUUUCAAAUCAGUCAUCUUAAGGCAAAAGACACCCAAUUUGGUUUUUGUUUUUCUAAUGAAGUUUUUCCAGGCUGUCCUAAAAUCUACAUGAUUGUCUUGUAAUUUAUAUUAAAAUCUCAUUCAAAUGCAGUAACUUCGGCCAUCUCUAAGUCAUGGUAUUUAGUAAAUUGACCUAUGAUUUUUUUGUGUGUGAGAAGAAACUUUAUAUUUCAUUAUUUAUUUUUGUUUUUAUUGAUGUUAUUUUUUAGAUGAAUCAUUAAAUAGAAGCAUUGUUCCACAUGUAACAUUUUAAAAAUUAUUUAUCAUUUUUAAUUAUUUUGAGGAUAUAAUGGCAAAUGAUAUUUGAAUAUAAUACAGCCAGACCUGCAUUCAGUUACUGUUCAAGCAAAUAUCAAGGUGAAUUUUUCUUCUUCAGUAAGACAAACUAUAGAAAAGAGUUGACAUGUAAUGAUUGCAUUUGGUCUGGAUACUUUUUAAAUCCCUUGCGUGUAUUAUACACAGUUCUAGGCAUUAGGAUACAGUACUGAACAGAAAAGGUCCUUGCUCUAAUGGAGUCUAUAUUUUACUGAAAGAAGAGGAUGAAAUGGUAACAUCAUUUUUAUAUAGUUUUUAAGUGCCAGGAGGGAAGUAAGCAUGAUGUGAUUAAAAGGAGUAGUUGUGGGUAGGCAGGGUGAUAUUCACUUUGGAUAUACAUUGUUUACAAUUAGGAGCAAAGUUUAAUUCUGUUGUUAUUUUAUAAUAUGAUCAUAAGGAAGUCAUUUCAACCUCUUGGUUUCCUUAGGUUCCUAAAUUCAUAUUUUAAAAAAUCAAAGCACUUUUCUGAUAGAUUCCUUAGGUGUUGUACAGAUACUUUUUUUUUGUGGGAGCAGGGAAUAAUCAGGGAUUGAACUCAUGGACACUUACUCUACCACUGAGCUACAUCCCCAGCCCUAUUUUUUUAUAUCUUUAUUUUUAUUUUAUUUUAUAUAUUUAUUUUAUUUUUAAUGUGGUGCAUGCCUCAUGCAUGCUAGGCGAGCGCUCCACCACUAAGCCAAAACCCCAGCCCCCCCAGCCCUAUUUUAU